UAGGGAAUCUUCGGCAAUGGACGAAAGUCUGACCGAGCAACGCCGCGUGAGUGAAGAAGGUUUUCGGAUCGUAAAACUCUGUUGUUAGAGAAGAACAAGGACGUUAGUAACUGAACGUCCCCUGACGGUAUCUAACCAGAAAGCCACGGCUAACUACGUGCCAGCAGCCGCGGUAAUACGUAGGUGGCAAGCGUUGUCCGGAUUUAUUGGGCGUAAAGCGAGCGCAGGCGGUUUGUUAAGUCAGAUGUGAAAUCCCCGGGCUCAACCUGGGAACUGCAUCUGAUAAUGGCAAGCUUGAGUCUCGUAGAGGGGGGUAGAAUUCCAGGUGUAGCGGUGAAAUGCGUAGAGAUCUGGAGGAAUACCGGUGGCGAAGGCGGCCCCCUGGACGAAGACUGACGCUCAGGUGCGAAAGCGUGGGGAGCAAACAGG
rnacentral:rRNA from 1 species